GAUGAACGCUGGCGGCGUGCCUAAUACAUGCAAGUCGAGCGAACAGACGAGGAGCUUGCUCCUUCGACGUUAGCGGCGGACGGGUGAGUAACACGUAGGUAACCUACCUAUAAGACUGGGAUAACUUCGGGAAACCGGAGCUAAUACCGGAUAAUAUUUCGAACCGCAUGGUUCGAUAGUGAAAGAUGGCUUUGCUAUCACUUAUAGAUGGACCUGCGCCGUAUUAGCUAGUUGGUAAGGUAACGGCUUACCAAGGCAACGAUACGUAGCCGACCUGAGAGGGUGAUCGGCCACACGGGAACUGAGACACGGUCCAGACGCCUACGGGAGGCAGCAGUAGGGAAUCUUCCGCAAUGGGCGAAAGCCUGACGGAGCAACGCCGCGUGAGUGAUGAAGGUCUUCGGAUCGUAAAACUCUGUUAUUAGGGAAGAACAAACGUGUAAGUAACUGUGCACGUCUUGACGGUACCUAAUCAGAAAGCCACGGCUAACUACGUG
rnacentral:rRNA from 1 species